GCUUGAGGAUGAUGUUGCAAGCCGCACACGUGUCCGGCCUCUAGGAGUCAUCCACACGAGCCCACGAAUCUCGAUCAGAAGUCCUGCUUCAGAAAAUCAGCACAGUAUGCUAGUACUACGCUGAUCCUUCUUUGAUGGUUGAUCAGGUGCCUCCUUCUUCUUGAUUUGGACUCUUCCAAAGAUAGAAAGUAGGAGGAAGAGUUUUAGAUCUGAGAUGCUCUUAGGAAACUCAAGAUGGAGGGAGGAAAGAUAUGAAAACAAACAACCCUAGAAGA
rnacentral:lncRNA from 1 species